rnacentral:rRNA from 1 species
UACGAAGGGGGGCUAGCGUUGUUCGGAAUUACUGAGCGUAAAGCGCACGUAGGCGGGUUGUUAAGUCAGGGGUGAAAUCCUGGAGCUCAACUCCAGAACUGCCUUUGAUACUGGCAACCUAGAGACUGGAAGAGGUUAGUGGAAUUCCCAGUGUAGAGGUGAAAUUCGUAGAUAUUGGGAAGAACACCAGUGGCGAAGGCGGCUAACUGGUCCAGCACUGACGCUGAGGUGCGAAAGCGUGGGGAGCAAACAGG